rnacentral:lncRNA from 1 species
GUUGGGUUUCUUGAUCUUCAUCAUCUACUUGAUGAAAUUCCUUAAUUGGAUGCCGUUUUCUACAUUCACUGUAAUAAACCGUCAUUAUGACGUAACUCAAAAGCACCACAAAUCCAUAACAAACUAUCACAUACACUUUCUCUUCAAAACCCAUCGACGAAUCCUCACCGUCCAUAGAUUUCUCUAUCCUCCACCUGAUCAAACUCGAAACCCACACAAAUAAACCCGAAAGAACAAACCCACAAACCCGGUUUCCCUCCAUCAAAUCGGAUCCGGUUUUUAUUGCUUCCCACCCGAAUCUCUCUUCCGCCACGGAAACCACCAAUCCGACGCUCAACACCGCCAUCAAGUAAACUUCGAGACCCGACCUGAAUAUGAGAACAAGGAGAUGCGAUCCAGUGAGUGCGUUGAGGAAGAACGGCAAGGAUGAAAAAACGAAGAGAGUGAAGUAUACGAAGAUCGACGUUACGAAAACACGCAUGAUGUUGGGUUUAAGGGAUGCGACGGCGGAGUUAACGGUGGGGGUAGGGAUGAGAGAGGAUGAAAGCAGGAGAAAACAUAAGCAGGGAAAGAGAAAAGGGCUUUGAUACGGAUGAGGAAAACAGCGUUGUCACGAGAUUCGUGCCAAACGUGACGAGCUUCGAAAUGGGUGGAAGCGAAGUGAGCGAGGGCUUCAAGGUGGCGGAUUUGGGAGGUGAGUUGGUGGGUGAAGAUGGAUUGGUAGAUUGAGAGGAUGGAGAGAGGGAGGGUUGUGAGGAGGAAGAUGGUUGUGAAAAGGAAUUUGUUUGUGGUUAGGAUUUGGAGAGAGUUGAAUAGGAUUUUGAAUGGGGUGAAGCAACGCCAUACAGCGCCGGCAUCGCACAUCUCUUACUGGCUACUGUCGGUGGAUCAUGGAGGAGGAAGAUGAUGAUGGUUUUAGGUUUCCUUCUUGGUUAGGACUGAGGAAGGUCGCGACCAAGUGGGGGUGGGGAAAAUGAUAAUUAAAUAAUAAAUAAUUAUAAAAAAAGAUGAUUUUAGGUUCCACUCUCUUUUCAUUUUUUGGGG